ensembl:lncRNA
GUUGCUUAAAUUUGGAUUAACUAGUUCUAGACUACAGAGUCUCAGAUUAAGGUAAUCAAGGACCAGUGAGAUCAUCUUUUGGAAACCCGAUUAGAUUAAUGGCAUGCAAAUAAGGAGAGGUUGCUAUAAAAACCUGGUAUAGAAUACUUGUAAUUCAUUAGUCUUAAGGAGUGUGUGGAACAGGAGUCACUACACUUAACCAAAAAAUGGAUAAAGGCAGAAGAAAACGCUCAAAAAACUUCAGUGAAUUUGAGAAGACCCUUUUUAAACAAAUUGUAUCAAACUAUUCUGUAAUUGAAAACAAACAGCAUGAUUCAGGUACAGAAAACAAGAAGAAGAAGGCAUGGAUUUCCAUAUUGAAUGAAUUCAACUCAAAUGAAAAAGUAACCAAAUGGACACUCCAACAAGUUCAGGUCCUGUGGAAAAACAUAAAAAUAAACCUGAAAAAAACAACUGCUGCUACGCGUCAAGAGCGUUUCAAGACAGGUGGGGGACUCCCAGUUCCACCAGACACAGAGGAGUUGGGGACUUGUUGGCUGGGAUUAUUGAAAGUCAGCAACCCCUGGAAGGUAUUCCAGAUGAUGACCAUUUGGACAGUUCAGGUGAGGAAUCUUUCAAAGACUCAUUUGAUAGGACACGUCUCAUUUACAGUAACAUGUGCUAUCACAUCCAACGUAAUUAAAUGCAAGUCAUGUCUUGUAACAAAAAUUAUGUAAUGACCUUUAUUGUUGAAGUCGAAUGUAAUGCUACAUUUUUUUUUGUUCCAUACAAAGAUGACCUGAUCUUGACACAGGACUUGGGGGGCGCAGGGAAUGUGAAAAGUGACGUGACAUUCAGCCAAGUAUGGUGACCCAUACUCAGAAUUCGUGCUCCGCAUUUAACACAUCCGAAGUGCACACACACAGAGCAGUGAACACACACACACACUGUGAACACACACCCAGAGCAGUGGGCAGCCAUUUUAUUGGGGGUUCGAUGCCUUGCUCAAGGGCACCUAAGUCAUGGUAUUGAAGGUGGAGAGAGAACUGUACCUGCACUCCCCCCACCCACAAUUCCUGCCGGCCCGAGACUCGAACUCACAACCCUUCGAUUGGGAGUCCGACUCUCUAACCAUUAGGCCACGACUUCCCUCUGUCAGGAACAGUCAAGAUGCUCAAAUGAAUCCAGCAGCAGCUAGAACCAACAUGCAGCAGCAUCCAGUCUCCUGCAGUAGCAUUAGUCAGCAUCCAGCAGUCUCUAAUCCAGGCAGCAGGUCAAGAGGGAAAAGGAUGACCAUUCAUGAAAAACUUGCCAUAGAGUUCCAUGAACGUAAAUUACAAUAUUUAAAAGAAGAACAUGAAGUCAAAAUGAAAAUUCUUCAUCUUGAGUUGUCUACUGUAUGAAAGAGAGAGACAUGAAGCAGCAGCAGUGUCAAUUGUCUUUGGAACAAAAUCUCAGUUAAAUAAAUAAUUUCCUGAAUUUUUUUUACCUGUCUAUGCCAAUCAUUUAUGUAUCACUCAAGGUUCAUUUAUGAGAAGUGCUGCAAAGCAAAAGCAUCUCUGUAAGCAAGUCCAUUUCUGUCAUUGGCUAGUUCAGCGAUAGGGACAUGUUGGUCAUCAUCAUCUUCAAUAUCAGGGUCUGGGCAGCCACACUGUUUAAGAAAAUUAUGAAGCACUGCUGUUGCAAUAAUAACAAUGCAGUACCUCCUAGGUUCAAACCGCAGUGUAUUUCG